UUUUCACGCGUGUGCUCAGUCAUGUAAACAGACGAGUUAUUAUGUAGCUUGUCUGCUCUUCACGCGUGUGCUCAGUCAUGUAAACAGAUGAGUUUAUAUGUAGCUGUCUGCUCUUCACGCGUGUGCUCAGUCAUGUAAACAGAUGAGUUUAUAUGUAGCUGUCUGCUCUUCACGCGUGGUGCUCAUCACGUAAACAGAUGAGUUUAUAUGUAGCUGUCUGCUC
rnacentral:lncRNA from 1 species